rnacentral:rRNA from 1 species
UACAGAGGGUGCAAGCGUUAUUCGGAUUUACUGGGCGUAAAGGGCGCGUAGGUUGUUUUCUAAGUUUGAUGUGAAAGCCCUCGACUCAAUCGAGGAAGUGCAUUGAAUACUGGAAGACUAGAGUUUAGGAGAGGAGAGCGGAAUUCCUGGUGUAGAGGUGAAAUUCGUAGAUAUCAGGAGGAACAACGAAGGCGAAGGCAGCUCUCUGGACUAAUACUGACACUGAGGCGCGAAAGCGUGGGGAGCAAACAGG